rnacentral:miRNA from 1 species
CAGGAUGCCCAGUGAAGUUUGAAUUUCAGACAAACAAUGAAUACUUUUUUAGUAUAAAUGUUCCAUGCAAUAUUUGGGGCAUACUUAUACUAAAAUUUUCCCUUUGUUUAUCUGAGUUUAAAUUUAACCGGGCAUCCUGU